rnacentral:rRNA from 1 species
CCUACGGGUCGCACCAGUGGGGAAUAUUGCACAAUGGGCGCAAGCCUGAUGCAGCCAUGCCGCGAGUAUGAAGAAGGCCUUCGGGUUGUAAAGUACUUUCAGCGGGGAGGAAGGCGAUAAGGUUAAUAACCUUGUCGAUUGACGUUACCCGCAGAAGAAGCACCGGCUAACUCCGUGCCAGCAGCCGCGGUAAUACGGAGGGUGCAAGCGUUAAUCGGAAUUACUGGGCGUAAAGCGCACGCAGGCGGUCUGUCAAGUCGGACGUGAAAUCCCCGGGCUCAACCUGGGAACUGCAUUCGAAACUGGCAGGCUAGAGUCUUGUAGAGGGGGGUAGAAUUCCAGGUGUAGCGGUGAAAUGCGUAGAGAUCUGGAGGAAUACCGGUGGCGAAGGCGGCCCCCUGG